rnacentral:rRNA from 1 species
GUGAGUAGUUCAGAGUUUGAUCCUGGCUCAGGAUGAACGCUAGCGGCAGGCUUAACACAUGCAAGUCGGGGGGCAGCAUGAGACGGAGAUUCGUCAAAGUCUUGAUGGCGACCGGCGCAAGGGUGCGUAACGCGUGAGCAACUUGCCCGUUUCAGGGGGAUAACCGGUGGAAACGCCGACUAAUACCCCAUAGUAUUGCGAUAAGGCAUCUUUUUGCAAUUAAAGAAUUUCGGAAACGGAUAGGCUCGCGUGACAUUAGCUAGAUGGUGAGGUAACGGCUCACCAUGGCGACGAUGUCUAGGGGUUCUGAGAGGAAGGUCCCCCACACUGGAACUGAGACACGGUCCAG